rnacentral:lncRNA from 1 species
GUCUGGAGGCCACAGCCACGCAGGAAGCCGGUGUCCCAGAAUAGCCAGCCGGUGGCAAGCCCAGCCUCCCCUCCUUGGCCUCGUUUCCCGAUCUCCUGGAUGGGGAUCCAAUCCAGUCUCCUUCCUGGAUUCCCCUGCCUGGAUUUCCCAAUCCCUUUCCUCCCCCUCAUGCUCAGAUGCUCCACUUUGCUGAAUUCCUUCAUGGAUGAUAGAAUCUCCCAGAGAUGACAGAAUCUCCCAGCCCGCCUGGCAGAGACGCCUGGAAGGGGGCUGGUCCCGUACCCCCUCGUGCGCAUGCACCGGCUUGUUCAGGAGGUUCAGUCUGUUUCAACUGACGAUGCCAUUGCCUGAGCAGCACACCCUGUGUUGUGAAAGGGCACCUGCAGGAAAAUCUUUCCACACCUUAACCCCUACUCCCACUCACGUCUGCAAUCUUGUUUAGGUGAUCAAGCAAAUUGAGACAAGCCUGUGAAUACUGGUAAACAGUCCCGGGGGUGGGGGGAGGGGGGAGGAAAAGAAGGUAAGAACACUGACUUGCCCCUUGACAAACCACUUCUAUUGUGCAUCGUUUUGUUGUUUCAUAGGUGUGCAAAGGAAGAAAGCUCUUGUGUUAUAUUUGGGCCGGGAAUUUAAAUUCUAUAAAAUAUUUGAUACCUUCUAAGAGGAAGUAAGCUCUUAACUGUUUUUGCUCAUGUAUUAUCAUGAGUCUCAUUUAAUCCAAAACACUGCUCCAUCAUUUAUGAUCUUAAUGUGGCAGAAAUACUAAAGGUACUUCUUUUUAAACUUGUUUUUUAAAGUUUAUUUAUUAUUGAGAAAGAGAGAGAGCGCCCAAGCUGGGGAGAGGCGCAGAGAGAGGGAGACACAGAAUCCGAAGCAGGGUCCAGGCUCUGAGCCAUCAGCACAGGGCCCGAUGCGGGGCUCGAACUCAUGAACUGUGAGAUCAUGACCUGGGCCGAAGUCAGACACUUAACUGACUGAGCCACCCAGGUGCCCCAAGGUACUUCUUAAUGCCACUACACAGAUCAGUUGCAUAUGUAACGUUAGCAGCAGAAAUUGCCCCGUCUAAGUGCUUGCUCACCCUUCUACCGCCUGUGAUUCAGAAUGCCUCAUCCACCCAUAUUAUGAACCAGAAAAAGCCGUGUCUCUAAUGAGCCCCAGAGCCUGAAGGCAGAGGCCCUGAAAGAGCUGGAACUCCCCCUGUGACCAACAGUAAGUAUCAAACUUCAUGUUCAUUCAGUGAUGACUGUCCAGGGAAAAACAAGCGGAAAUAAAGGCGCUUUCAAAUCAUAACCA